rnacentral:rRNA from 1 species
CCCUUAGAUGUUCGGGGCCGCACGCGCGCUACACUGAAGGAAUCAGCACGUCUUUCUCCUUGUCCGAAAGGACUGGGUAACCCGCUGAACCUCCUUCGUGCUAGGGGUUGGGGCUUGUAAUUCUUCCCCAUGAACGAGGAAUUCCCAGUAAGCGCGAGUCAUAAGCUCGCGUUGAUUACGUCCCUGCCCUUUGUACACACCGCCCGUCGCUACUACCGAUUGGAUGGUUUAGUGAGAUCCUCGGAUUGGUCCCGGAGCGGCCUCUGGUCGUGCCGGAGUGCCGAAAAGAAUGUCGAACUUGAUCAUCUAGAGGAAGUAAAAGUCGUAACA